UGGAGCUCUCCGCUCAGCAGCUGCACGGCCUCGGCGUACCGGGCAUCCCGGAUGAGCCGGUACACAACCGCGGUGAACUCCCCGUCGGGGAUCUGCGCACCUCCCAGGCCCGCCAUAACCGCCUCCGAGGUUGCUUACGCUCGUUACCAGGGCAACAAGACAACCGGAAACGGAAGGCUGCGAAGAAGGUUGGUGUUUUUAAUGGGCUUUGGGGGAGGGGGGGUGGUUGCUCCUAAAGUACUUUGCAGCGGAACGAUCAACCUGAGAUUGGAAAGAGUUACUAAUGUGUGUAUCUCAAUUAUUGGCCUGGUCCCUGAAGACUCCAGAGUGUGAGCGGCGUUAGACGCGAGAGGAAAGACCUCCUGGCCGUUCGAAGACGGAAACUCUACUUCCCGGCAUGCACCGGUUCGCGCCGCCAGCGGCCGUAGCCGCGCUGCAUGCUGGGAGGCGUAGUCUCCUCGGGGCGGACCCUGGGGUGAGGGGAGAUGAGGUCGUGGUCACCUUCCGUUCUGUGUUUGCCAGAGUUGUGUUCUGCUGAAGCAUGAAACUGGACACGGAACUGUCCACUGCGUGAAUACCAAGUAAAAGACACACUGCACUCCUUCCAGUGGGUUUGAGUGGGCCACCCAGGAUGCCCAGAGAAAGCAGCUGAGAAAGACUUUCUUUGGUCAUAACUCAGUAACCUGACUCCGAGGCUUCUUCCAACCCAAUCUCUGCUGAAAUCCUUUCCAGUCUUCAGCCCAAAGAGGUGGAAAAUCCGAGACCUGAGGGUCCCAAGAUAACAAGCCAGGCCGGGGAGAGCCCCAUCCACUGUGCACUGGGGCGGUGCCCUUUGCAGUCUGCCAAGCUGUCCCUCCUGGCCGGGAUUGCCAGCUAUAUUGUAGGUUGUGCAUGUAUUAUCCACUUACUGACUAAUAAAAUGAUAAAUAGCCUGCCUGAGAAAAAUACACCUCGUGGACAAAGUAGGAUGAAGUCAUUUCAACCAUAAAUGCCAAGAGAACCAAACAUUUGGUCAGUUGGAGGUUUUAUAAGAAGGUUCACAUUUAAGUGCCUUCCUCCAAUAGGAAAUAAAUAUUAAUAAUAACAAUUGGGAAAUUUUCUCUUUUUCUGUUUUGGGAAAGCAGAUUAUAUGGGUAACCACGCAUACCUCAAAUUCUUCUGAAGUUAUACAUUACUUAGAAAAGGGAUUUAAAAUACCCCAAACUCCCAAGUUCAACCUCUAACCUUCUGGGUUGUUGGCUCCAGGGAGCCUGCUACCCUCCUUUUCUACUGUUUCAUGGUCAUGGAGGAACAGACCUGGGCAUUAGUCAGCAGUUUCUGAAUUUUGACCCACAAUAUAAAAGAUACCUUGAGACAGGAAAAAUAGAUGGAGGCAAUUACAAACAGCCACUUGAUUGAUGGUUGACAUUGUCAGGGCUCCACUGCAUGGCAGAUUGCAAUGGUGUUGAACUCCCCUUGCUACCAGUGGAUGUUGCUAUUGGCAACCGUGCAGCGAAGCCAAUAAAAAGGCAAGAAAAUGAGAGGAAAACUCAACCUUAGUGGAAGCCGGAGGGUUUCUGCUAUAAAUUACGUUCCCCUCAGCAAUAUGCAGCAUCAACAUUCAGGGUAGCCACAGUGCAUGUAGCCGUCUGCAGUCUCCAUCGGACCCUGGGUCUAGUUUUAUCAUAAAGCACAUGCUUUAAAAUUUUGCUCUAGAUACACUGGCAUCCAUCUUUCUGGGCUAUUUAUUUAUUUAUCGUUGGGGAGGAUGACAGAUGUGGGUCCAUCUCUGCCUCACAUGGACUGAUUUUCAAUUCCCGCUUGUGAUACAAACAUGAUGUGACACAGCAGCUAGAAACACCUGCAGUGCUUCUAGCUGCAGACACACAACCAGGCUCUGUCCCUGCUUCCACCCACCCUUUCUUCCUCACCUGAAGGAGGGAGACAGCCCAGCAGAAGCUAUUUUCCUUUAUAGCUGAGUGAUUCAGGAAACUGGCUUCAUAAAAUCCAUAAAUCUGAACAACCUCCUCUUACCAGCUCUGCAGAGGCAAAUUUUCCUGCACUUAUUUUCUCCUCGAGUUUCUCCAGUCUUCCCCCUGGAGACAGUGGUAGAGGGUAGCUGGGAACAUUAUUUUUUAGGGUUCCCACUCCUUCCUUUUCUCUUUUGUCAAUCCCCUCCCUACUCAAGUAUCUCUCUUUUCUGAGCAAUUGAUGACAGGACGUACCUUCAUUUUUUUUUAUAACAAGUCUCGUUUUUUUCCGUGUUUGGAUUAAUGUUCACCUUCCCUUUGGCCAUCUCUUACCACCUGCAUUGGGUCCUAUAUUUUCUUGUUAGCCACUUUCUUUUGGUUCCCCUCCUCCUCUUUUCCUCCAUUUGCCUGGUUUAUAAUUUUCUUUUGCUCCAUUUCUGAUCAUGUAGAAUCUUUCUUCUUCCUCAUGGUUACCUUGCUGUUCCCUUCUGUUUUGGUUCCUUAAUUUACCCAUUCUUUAAACAUUUCCCCAAUGUCUACCAUGUGCCAGGAAAACAAUGUCCUUGGUGGAACUUGGCCCCUCUUUCUCUGAAUAAAGUUAAUAACUAACACUGACCAGCAACAACAAGAACAGAAGUGGUUUUAAAUUUUAGAUUUUUUUGGAACUGGAAUGGACUUCAAGGUUUAUCUGGUCCAGAGAUUUUCAAAUUCCUCAGAGGCCCUUUAUGGGCCGCUAGGUAUGUAAUCAAGGAGAUGAGGCUUCAUAGGGCUCCCCCAACCCAGCUUCAAACAGAGGACUUGGACUUUUAGAUGUUUUAUGUCUUGGGGAGUCUUUGUAAGAUUUAUUUGAAUGAAGAGUUCUAAGGCUAAGUUAUGUUUGAAAAUAAUUUCUUAGUGUAAUCUCAUUUGACAAAUGAGGAAAAAGGAAGAAGUUAAGUGAUUUGUCUAAAGCCAUCCAGUGAAUAGUGCCAGAGCUAGGGUACAAGUCUAGCUUCUAGCCCAGCAUUGUUUUGUUUUGUUUUUUUCUCUCUCUCUUUUUUUUUUUGGUUGCACCUCAUGGCAUGCAGAAUCUUAGUUCUUUGUGGUGGAAGAUUCUUAACUACUGGACCCCCAGGAAAGUCCCACAGCGGGGACUUUGGAUAGGGCAUACCCUGUCCUCAGUCUCUCAGCUUUCUAAUCUCUGCAUCUGUUUAAUAUAGCUUAUUCUUAUCUAUGGCCUUCCCAAGUGGUGCGAGUGCAGGAGA